rnacentral:rRNA from 1 species
AAUGAACGUUGGCGGCGUGGAUUAGGCAUGCAAGUCGUGCGAGAAUCUCCCUUCGGGGAGAGGACAGCGGCGAAAGGGAGAGUAACGCGUGGUUACAUACCCUCGGGACCGGGAUAGUAGCGGGAAACUGCUAGUAAUACCGGAUAAUAUCUUUGGAUCAAAGGUGUGAUUCCGCCCGAGGAUUGGACCGCGUUCUAUUAGCUUGUUGGCGGGGUAAUGGCCCACCAAGGCGACGAUGGAUACCGGGUGUGAGAGCAUGGCCCGGCUCACUGGGACUGAGACACUGCCCAGACACCUACGGGUGGCUGCAGUCGAGAAUCUUCGGCAAUGGGGGCAACCCUGACCGAGCGACGCCGCGUGCGGGAUGAAGGCCUUCGGGUUGUAAACCGCUGUCAGUUGGGAGGAAGUGCCAGGGGGUUCUCCCCUUGGUUUGACCGAUCUUCAGAGGAAGGACGGGCUAAGUUCGUGCCAGCAGCCGCCGCGGUAA